rnacentral:rRNA from 1 species
UACGUAGGGGGCAAGCGUUGUCCGGAAUCAUUGGGCGUAAAGAGCGUGUAGGCGGCUCGAUAAGUCUGCUGUGAAAGUCCAGGGCUCAACCCUGGAAUGCCGGUGGAUACUGUCGGGCUAGAGUCCGGAAGAGGCGAGUGGAAUUCCUGGUGUAGCGGUGAAAUGCGCAGAUAUCAGGAGGAACACCGAUGGCGAAGGCAGCUCGCUGGGACGGUACUGACGCUGAGGCGCGAAAGCGUGGGGAGCAAACAGG